rnacentral:rRNA from 1 species
GACGAGGGAUCCUAGCGUUGUUCGGAAUUAUUGGGCGUAAAGCGGGUGUAGGUGGUUUUGUAAGUCAGGUGUGAAAGCCCAGGGCUCAACCCUGGAAGUGCAUUUGAUACUACAAGACUUGAGUGUGGGAGAGGUUAGUAGAAUUCCUGGUGUAGUGGUGAAAUACGUAGAUAUCAGGAGGAAUACCGGAGGCGAAGGCGGCUAACUGGCCCAACACUGACACUGAGACCCGAAAGCGUGGGGAUCAAACAGG